rnacentral:rRNA from 1 species
GAUGAACGCUGGCGGCGUGCCUAAUACAUGCAAGUCGAGCGAACAGACGAGGAGCUUGCUCCUCUGACGUUAGCGGCGGACGGGUGAGUAACACGUGGAUAACCUACCUAUAAGACUGGGAUAACUUCGGGAAACCGGAGCUAAUACCGGAUAAUAUAUUGAACCGCAUGGUUCAAUAGUGAAAGACGGUUUUGCUGUCACUUAUAGAUGGAUCCGCGCCGCAUUAGCUAGUUGGUAAGGUAACGGCUUACCAAGGCAACGAUGCGUAGCCGACCUGAGAGGGUGAUCGGCCACACUGGAACUGAGACACGGUCCAGACUCCGACGGGAGGCAGCAGUAGGGAAUCUUCCGCAAUGGGCGAAAGCCUGACGGAGCAACGCCGCGUGAGUGAUGAAGGUCUUCGGAUCGUAAAACUCUGUUAUUAGGGAAGAACAAAUGUGUAAGUAACUAUGCACGUCUUGACGGUACCUAAUCAGAAAGCAACGGCUAACUACGUG